AUCGCCUGGCCUUUUGUGGCUAGAAUCAAGUGUGUGUCUGUUCUUAUCAGUUUAAUGUCUGAUAUUGGCAUGCUCUAUAUGAGGACUACAUAUUAAGCAGAUUUUUGGCAUGAGGCAGAAGUGGGCUUGCUCUUUUUCUCUCCAUCAUUAGCAUUGCAGUGCCGCUGGGAACGGUGCACACUCU